AAUCAAGGAAUUAUUGAAGAAGAUCCCAAAACUUUCAGUCAAGAUUUGAUUUACUUUGAUUCCCUACAGAACAUGUCCUGUCCCAAUCUACCUUAUAAAUUACCAACCACCAUUUUGAUUUCUUCCAUGCCCAAACAUCUUGGAUUUCAGACAAUGUCGAAGCUCUCCUUCAGAUUGUUCUUUGCCAUCCUCCUUAUUUCCUCAGUUUGUAUGAUGAUGCAUGAAGUCCAUGGACAAGAAAUGUGCCAUGGACGAAUCCCUGGUGAUGGUUCUUGUGACGCUGGAACUUGCAGCAGCCAAUGUGGUCAAUCCUUCCCAGGAAGCCAGGGAAGUUGCGUUCAGACAUUUAUCAAUCGUUUCACUUGUCAGUGUACCUGGCCUUGCAGUUAGUGAAACAGCCACCAAACCUUGUUCAUCUUCCUCAUUUCUCUGCUUUAUGUAAUAAAUAUAGCUUUCGUUUUGAAGUUUGAACCAAUAUAUCAGCUAUUUUGUAUCUACAUCUUCUGGGGUUUGGAUUAAAUUAAGUUUAUUGCUGUUUCCUCUGAA